UACAGAGGUCUCGAGCGUUGUUCGGAUUCAUUGGGCGUAAAGGGUGCGUAGGUGGCGCUGUAAGUCGGGUGUGAAAUCCUGGGGCUUAACCCCGGAACUGCAUUCGAUACUGCAGUGCUUGAGGACUGGAGAGGAGACUGGAAUUCAUGGUGUAGCAGUGAAAUGCGUAGAGAUCAUGAGGAAGACCAGUGGCGAAGGCGGCUAUCUGGACCAGCACUGACACUCAGGCACGAAAGCGUGGGGAGCAAACAGG
rnacentral:rRNA from 1 species